UUUAAACUAAGAUCUUGGGAUCUCCAAUCAGGAAGGUAAGGUUACCAUUACAAAAAAAUGUAAUAGGCUUUAUCAUGUUCCUCUCGAUAGGCAACGUACUUGAUCUCUAGGCAAGCCUUUCAUAAGUGGAUCCAUGAUGUUCUCCUUUGAUUUUCACAUAUUUUAUGGAGAUAAUGUCAUUUGAGAUCAGUUGCUUAAUGGUAUUAUGUUUACAACAUAUAUAUCUAAACUUAGCAUUAUACCUACUGCUUCUAAUCCUUCCAAUACCCGAUUGACUAUCACAGUGUAUACUAAUUGCAGGUACCUGCUUAGGCCAAUAUGGAAUGUCCUCCAAGAAGUUACGAAGUCAUUCUGCUUCUUCUCCAGCUUUAUCUAAAGUAAUGAACUCAAAUUCUAUCAUUGAUCUAGCUAUGCAUGUUUACUUCAUCGAUUUCCAUGAGAUAGUAUCUCCACCAACGAUAAAUACAUAACUACUAAUAGACUUAGAAUCUUUCAUGUCAGAUAUCCAAUUUGCAUCACAAUAUCCUUUCAAUACCGCAGAAUAUUUUGAGAAGUGUAAUAUAUAGGUUAAGGUAUAUUUCAAGUAUUAAGAACUCUUAUCAAUGCCUUCCAAUGAUCAUGCUUGGAUUACUUGUAAAUCUAGUAAGUUUAUUCAUAGCAAACACUAUGUCCGAUUGAGUGCAAUUCAUAAUAUUCAUUAAUCUGUCAGUCGCUUGUAAACAUCUUAGUUGUGACACACAUUCACCCGUAUUCUUGACUUAGUGUAAACUUGUGUCAAUAUAGGUUUUCCAUGACUUUCCUCAAAGACAUUAUACUUCUUAAGUAUACUAUCAAUGUAACGAGAUUUGGGAAAGUACAAUUUUUUCCGAUGUUUUAGAAUUCUUAAUUCAUAAUAUCACUUCAAUCAUAUCCAUGUCUUUCAUAUUGAAAUGCUUUGUUAGCAUUUUCUUGGUGUUUAACAUUUCGUGACUAUUGCCCAUUAACAUGUCAUCUACAUAUAGACAUACAAUCAUAUGGUAUUCGGUGUAUGUUUGAUAAAUACACAUUUUUUAUUUUGAAUCCAUUUGACAACAUUGUUUUUCUCAAAUUUUUGAUAUCAUUAUUUGGGAGCUUGUUUCAAUCCGUAUAGGGAAUUAACAAGUUUAUAAAUCUUGUGUUUUUUAUUAGGAGAGAUGAAUCCUUUGAGUUGUUUCAUGUAUAUCUCCUCUUCUAACUUAUCAUUUAAGAAUGUCGUAUUUACAUCAAUUUGAUGAAUCUUGAGGUUAUGCAUUGCUACAAUUGCAACUAGCAACAUUAUCGACAUGAUUCUAGUCACAGGUGAGUAGGUAUCAAAGAAGUCAAGUCCUUCAUUUUACUUAUAUCAUUUGGCAAUCAACCCAGCCUUAUACUUGUCAAUAAAUCCAUUAGGUUUCAACUUCUUUUUGAAUUUCCAUUUACACCCUAAAGGCUUGCUCCCGGGAGGUAAAUCAAGUAACUCUAAGGUAUGAUUUUGCAUUAUGGAAUCUAUCUCGCUCUUGAUAGUUUCUUUCCAAUGUGGUGCUUCCAGUGUGAAAAUUGCUUCCUCAAAAGUCUUUGGGUCAUUUUCUACUAACGCCUUGAUUUUUUCUCAUUUGAAGUUCAAUUUGUAGUUUCACAAGUUCUUUUCCUUGAACUCGAAUUUUUCUCGUCUUUACAUGGAAAAAUAUUUUUGAAAAAUGAUGCAUUUCUUGAUUUGAUUAUGAUUUCCUCAUGUACAUCUUAAACUUCAUAUUUAUGUACAAAAAAAUGAUAUACACUACUAUUAUUGACAUAUCCAAUAAAUAUGCAAUCAACAGUUUUCGGAUCAAUCUUCACUUGCUUGGGCUUAGGAAUUUCAACCUUAGCCAAACACCCCCAUAUUUUUCAAGCGUUGGUAUGACGGAAGAUGACAUUUCAUAAUUUAUAUGAAGUUUCUUCCAAUUUUUUGAGGGAUAUCCUAUUAAGAAGAUUAUUUGUCGUUAAAAUAGUGUCCCCCCAUAAGUUAUGAGGUAAACCCGAACUUAACAACAUUGCGUUCAUCAUUUCUUUAAGAGUUCGAUUUUUGCGUUCAACAACACCAUUUGACUGAGAGGAGUAAGGUACCAUUGUUUGAUAAAUAAGUCCAUAUUCGAAACAGAAUUCUUCAAAUGGUACCCUGUAUUCACUUCCUCUGUCACUAUGAAUAUUCUUUAUU
rnacentral:lncRNA from 1 species